rnacentral:lncRNA from 1 species
UCGUAAAACAACAAGUUUGGUUGUGAGCUUGGAAAACAACCGGCUGUAAUCCAAGGGGUUAUAGUGAAUUCCCAAGUGAGACUUGGGGAGUGGACGUAGGAGCAAGGGUUAGCUCUGAACCACUAUAAAACUUGGUGUUUGUGAUUGAUUGUCUCUCUUUCUCUUACUCUCAUAUCACUUACAGCACAUAGCAAUUAAUUAAACAACUUGCAAUAGUUUUAAUUAGUCAUCCACAACGUUUUAAAUAGCUAAAUUAUUUUAAAACCCAAUUCACCCCCCCCCCC